UGACUAGCAGAUAUGCUGUAAAAUUAAUUCAAAAAGAAAUCCUUCAGAAUCUUGUUAUAUUAUAGCAGACAGUAACUUGAAUCAUUCAGAUGGAACAAAGGCCUCAAAAAUAGAAAAGAAACAACAAAGAAACAUUAAAAUCCCUUAUCCUACUUAGACAGCAUGGAAUUUCUCUGUAUUAUUUUCAUCCAAACAAGAGAGACUCCCACCAACCUGUUGUUCCCAUCCACUCCACUGCACCCACCAGGGCAUUUGCAUACUGUCCCCUAGGGAGGGCCUUCCCUUGUGAGUCUGAGAUAAAGCUCAUGCCUAACCUGGCCUGGACUGACCAGGACUCCUCAGUGCAACUUCUCAAAAUGAGGCUCCCUGCUCAGCUCCUGGGGCUGCUGGUGCUCUGGGUCCCUGGAUCCAGUGGUGAUGUUGUGAUGACCCAGACUCCCCUGUCCUUGCCUGUCACCCCUGGAGAGCCGGCCUCCAUCUCCUGCAGGGCUAGUGAGAGCAUCCUGCAUAGCAAUGGAAACACCUAUUUGAGUUGGUACCUGCAGAAGCCAGGCCAACCUCCAAAACGCCUGAUUUAUAAAAUUUCUAACCGGGACACAGGGGUCUCAGACAGGUUCAGUGGCAGUGGGUCAGGGACAGAUUUCACACUGAAAAUCAGCAGGGUGGAGGCUGAGGAUGUGGGAGUGUAUUACUGCACUCAAGGUACAAAGCUUCCUCACACAGUGAUACAGCCCCGAACACAAACCUCCAUGCUUGGGGUGGCCCAGCUGCCCAACUGUGUUGUUUGUCUGGUGACAGCUCAGCAGAAUUUCUGGCUGUAUAAGAGAAUGUAG